rnacentral:rRNA from 1 species
UGCGCAGGCGGUUGGGUGUGUCAGAUGUGAAAUCCCGAGGCUUAACCUCGGAACUGCGUCUGAAACUACUCGACUAGAGUACUGGAGAGGGUAACGGAAUUCACGGUGUAGCAGUGAAAUGCGUAGAUAUCGUGAGGAACACCAGAGGCGAAGGCGGUUACCUGGACAGUUACUGACGCUCAGGCACGAAAGCAUGGGGAGACAAAAG